rnacentral:lncRNA from 1 species
UAGUUUAGAAGAAAUUUUCCUAUCUAAGUCCUUGCCUAGCUUGAUUACUUUGAUGUGCAAGUUCUUUACGUUUAAGAUGGAUGUUUCCGUGACUAUUGGUGAAAAUCUAGAUUCCUUCUUGCGGAUGACUCAGGAUCUAGAACGUAAUGGUGAUAUAAUAAAAGAUACUCACCAAGCUGUGAUUUUGUUGAACUCUUCGCCAGCUCAAUUUGAUACUUUCAAAGAUGUCAUAUAAUAUGGUCGUGAUGACAUCACUAUAGCUCAAAGUUCUCAGGCUAUUUUCCAAAAGGAUGAAGUCCUUAAGGUGCUUAAGUCUAGAGUUAAGGGUAAACCUGUUGACAAUAAGGCUGAUGGUAAAACAUAAGCCCUAAUGGUUAAGGGUAAAGUUAAAGGUCAUAAAAAAAAGUCUAAGAGUAAUACUGAUAAGAGUAAAAACAAUGAUAGUUUACGAUGAUAAAGAUGAUCAUUAUGCUAAGGAGUGUCAUAAAAGGAUUAGGAAUGAAAAAAAUUAGUCUAAGGACAAUUCUGAUUCAUCAAACCUGUUUGAGUCUUGCCAAGAAUAAAAACAAUGUAAUACUGAUAAGAGUAAUACUGAUAAGAGUAAAAACAAUGAUAAAACUAAGUUUAAGUGUUUUUACUGUGAUAAAGACGAUCAUUAUGCUAAGGAGUGUCAUAAAAGGAUUAGGGAUGAAAAAAAAUAAGUCUAAGGACAAUUCUGAUUCAUCAAACCUGUUUGAGUCUUGCCAAGAAUACCCUCAUGAACUGCUUGUUGUGGACCGUGGCAGAGUGUCAAACGACUGGAUCCUUGCUUCAGGUGACCAUACUACUCUUUCUAAACAAGAAGGAGGAGAUGUGAUGUUGGGUGACCAUACUACUCUUAAGUUAAGGGUAUAUGGUCAAUCCCCAUGAGGAUUUUCGAUGGUAGGAUUAGAGUGAUUCGAAAUGUGAAUGGGUCCCAACAUUGAGAAGGAAUUUGCUGUAUGAGUCUUUAUUUGAUGAAAUGCAUUGUCAGAUUAGAACUCGUGAUGGUAUUAAGGAUGUCAUAAAAGAUAACAAAGUAGUGAUAAGAAGUGUCAAAUGUGAUGGUCUAUAUUAUGUGGUUGGUUCUAUGAAUUGAAUGUUUCUAAAAGUUGUGUUAAACAUGGUAAUUCUGCUUUUACUAAACUCUAGCAUGAUAGACUAGGGCAUAUUGGUUAUAAUGAUUUGGUUCAUUUGUUCAAAAAUGGCCUGAUUAAUAAACACCCUUGUAGUCUUGAUUUCUGUGAAAACCGUGUUCUUGGAAAGAAAAUAAAACAUAUUUUUGGGAAAUCUUCCUAUACUGCCUCUAGAGUUCUGGAACACCUUCAUGCUAGUCUUUAGGGUUCAGCUCAGGUAGAAACCAUUGGUGGAAGGAAAUACUUUCUUACCAUCAGUGAUCAUUACUCUAAGAAAGUAUGGGUUAGGCUUUUAAAGACUAAGUAUGAAGCUUUUGAGUCUUUCAAAUCCUAGAAAAUCAUGGUUGAAACUCAAACUGGAGACACUCUUAAGUGUUUAAAAACCGAUAAUAGCUUAGAGUUCUGUAAUAAAGCUUUUGACUCUUUCUGCCAACAACAUGGUAUAAAGAGACAUCUCAUUGUGCUUGGGACUCCUCAUCAUAAUGGUACUGCUGAAAGGAUGAACAUGAAUCUUCUUGAGAAAGCUAGAUGUAUGCUAAUUGGUGCUGGUUUAAAACCUCAUUUAUGGGGAGAGGUAAUAACCACUGCUGCCUGCCUCAUAAACAUGUCUCCAUCGGCUGCUAUUGGGUUUAAAACCCCACAAGAGCUGUGGACUAGUAAACCACCAGAUUUAGACCAUCUAAAACCUUUUGGUUGCUCUGCUUACUCUCUUGUGGCACAAGGAAAGUUGAAUCCUCAUGCUCAGAAAUACGUUUUAUUUGGUUAUCCAAAGGGAGUAAAGGGUUAUAAACUACUCUUGAUUCUCCCUCAAGGGUAUAAGUGAUCAUUUCUCGAGAUGUGAAAUUUAAUUUAAUUUCAAAGAAAAACUAAUGAGUUCUUCUGAGGUUGCAACUACAACAGACACCCCUGACCCUCCUCCUGUCCCUGCGGGACAGUUCUUUGCGCUUGAAGAGGGCAAUAACAAUCUUGAUGAAGCAGAAUUUAACCAAGGUCAUUCAUUGCACCUAUCUGACUCCUGGCUUCGAAGGCCAUUCUCCUUCAUCCGCUGGUGAGACCUCCAGUUCUCACCAUUCCACUCAUCCGGCAGAAUCAACACCUUCCAACCCUUAAGAAGUUGGUGGGGGGGGGGAGGUAGUAAGUGUAUCUUCUCCCUCUUUGUCUGUGUCUAAUAGUGUUUUCUCUGCUUCUAUUAGUCAGUCUGAUGAUCUGAAUGCCAAUUCAAAUUCUAAUUUGUAUGAUCUGGCUGAUUAUCAACUUGCUAGGGAUAGAGAACCUAGAACUAGGAUCCCUAAUAGGAAAUACACUUCCAAUCUUGUUGAGUUAGCUAUCUGUGUUUCUCAUCUAGUUGCUUCAUUUACUCGUGAGACUUACAGCCAAGCUGUAAAUUGCUCUAAGUCAAAUGAGUGGAAUUUAGCUAUGUAUGAAGAAUAUAAAUCUAUGCAUGCUAAUAAAACAUGGAAUCUUGUGCCUAAACCUGAAAAUGUCAAAAUUAUGGGUAAUAAAUGGGUUUAUAGAUUUAAAGAGAGCUCUUCUAACUUAGAUCCUUCUAGAUACAAGGCAAGACUUAUAGCUAAAGGAUGUAUUCAGAGAGAGGGCAUUGAUUACAAUGAAAUCUUUGCUCAUGUAGUCAAGUAUAAGACUACGAGGCUCUUACUUGCUAUGACUGUUGUUUUUUACCGGGAUCUUGAACAAAUGGGUGUGAAAACUACUUUCUUGAAUGAUGACCUGAUGGAAACCAUUUACAUGUAAUGGCCUUAGGGCUUUGUUGAUCCAAAAUACCCUGAUCAUGUGUUUUUGUGGAACAAAUCCAUAUACGAUCUUAAACACUCUCCUAGGCAGUGGAACAUAAAACUUGACACUUGCAUGAAAUUUAUUGGGUUCACCAAAAGCAGUUAUGUUACCUAUCUCUAUUUUAAGAAUGUUAAAACAAAAAAUCAUAUGUUCAUUUUGCUCUACACUGAUGACAUUCUUCUCAUCAGCAGCUUAUCUGUCAGCAUUGUUGGUGCUAAGAAUGACCUCAAAAGGCAUUUUGAAAUAAAGGACUUAUGUCUGGCCAAAAGGUUUUUGGGUCUUAACAUCGUGAGAAAUAGGAAAACAGGUGCCUGAUGCUCUCCUAAUCUGAUUACCUGCAAAAAGUGUUAGAGAAAUUUUCCAUUCAUGGCUCAAAGCCUGUCUCUGUGCCUUUGGGAGCUCACCUAGAGCUUACAAAGUCUCAGUGCCCUUCAACCUUUGAGAUCAAAAAAUGAAGUUGAUUCCUUAUGAUGUAUCCAUUGGUUCUGUUAUGUAUGCAAUGUUAUGCACCAUACCUGAUAUAGCUUUUGCUAUAAGUGUUUUAAGCAGGUACAUGUCAAAUCCUUGGGAGAAACACUGGCCAGCUAUGCCGUAUGCUCUUCGGUACAUCUCUGGAACUAGAAACUUGGUUCUAGUAUACUCUAAACACUCUGAUAAUUGUGACUUGGUUGGCUUUGUUGACUCUUAUCAUGCAAGUAACAAAGACACUCCCAAGUCUAUUACUUCUUUUGUAUAUACUUGGAUUGGAAAUUGUAUUUACUAGAAAUCAGAACAACUGCCUAUAGUUGCCUUGUCAUCAACCAAAGCUGAAUACAUUGCGGAAACCGAAGCAUGUAAGAAGCAACUUGGUUAAAAGGCCUUUUGAGUGAAAUUUAUAUAGAACCUAUCUUCAUGUACUAUUUAUGGAUAAUCAGAGUGCCCUUCUACUACCUCUGAGAGUGCUUUACAUCUUAGAACUUCUGCAGUCGUUCCUCAACCUGGAAGGGGACUGAAAGCCUCUGCUUCUCUUUCUCUUGUUGUGUUCUCUGUUGUAAUCUUUCUUGUUUUGAUUAGGGUUCCGUUGAAGCUCUAUCGAUCUUGUAAUUGUUGUAACCUUUGUACCGAUUAGUGGGAUUUCUUAUUGAGCUUUCCAUCUCGGAGGCUCUACCGAGUAAGAUAGUUCACUCUGAACAUCAUUAACAAACUCUGUGUCUCUUUAUGUUUCUCGCUGUAGAUCUAUCAUUGCCUAUUCGAUCUGUGAGCGUUCUGAGGGCCUUGAGAGUUAGUCUAUUUCAUUAUGUUGCCUACGAGAUCAGAUCUGAUAUCACCAGCUUUAUUGGACCAUUUAAAUAAGACUGAAUCCUGAGGUAAAGCUGCAAGCUUUAGAGCUUCUACACCUCAUUUUAUGCUUG